rnacentral:rRNA from 1 species
CCUACGGGUGGCUGCAGUGGGGGAUAUUGGACAAUGGGGGAAACCCUGAUCCAGCGAUGCCGCGUGAGGGAAGAAGGUUUUCGGAUUGUAAACCUCUAUCAGCAGGGAAGAAAGUGACGGUACCUGACUAAGAAGCCCCGGCUAACUACGUGCCAGCAGCCGCGGUAAUACGUAGGGGGCAAGCGUUAUCCGGAUUUACUGGGUGUAAAGGGAGCGUAGGCGGCGAUGCAAGUCAGAAGUGAAAGCCCGGGGCUCAACUCCGGGACUGCUUUUGAAACUGUAUGGCUAGAUUGCAGGAGAGGCAAGUGGAAUUCCUAGUGUAGCGGUGAAAUGCGUAGAUAGUAGGAGGAACACCAGUGGCGAAGGCGGCUUGCUGGACUGUAAAUGACGCUGAGGCUCGAAAGCGUGGGGAGCAAACAGGAUUAGAUACCCCUGUAGUC